rnacentral:rRNA from 1 species
AACGAACGCUGGCGGCAUGCCUAACACAUGCAAGUCGAACGAACCCUUCGGGGUUAGUGGCGCACGGGUGCGUAACGCGUGGGAAUCUGCCCUUUGCUUCGGAAUAACAGUUAGAAAUGACUGCUAAUACCGGAUGAUGUCUUCGGACCAAAGAUUUAUCAGCAAGGGAUGAGCCCGCGUAGGAUUAGGUAGUUGGUGGGGUAAAGGCCUACCAAGCCGACGAUCCUUAGCUGGUCUGAGAGGAUGAUCAGCCACACUGGGACUGAGACACGGCCCAGACUCCUACGGGAGGCAGCAGUGGGGAAUAUUGGACAAUGGGCGCAAGCCUGAUCCAGCAAUGCCGCGUGAGUGAUGAAGGCCUUCGGGUCGUAAAGCUCUUUUACCAGGGAUGAUAAUGACAGUACCUGGAGAAUAAGCUCCGGCUAACUCCGUGCCAGCCGCCGCAGUAAAGC